AGAGUUUGAUCCUGGCUCAGGAUUAACGCUAGCGGAAGGCAUAAUACAUGCAAGUCGAACGGGAUAGAACUUAGCAAUAGGUUCUUGAGAGUGGCGCACGGGUGCGUAACACGUAUGCAACCUACCUUUAACUGGGGGAUAGCCUCUCGAAAGAGAGAUUAAUACCCCAUAAUAUAACUAAUGAGCAUUUUUUGGUUAUUAAAGAUUUAUCGGUUAAAGAUGGGCAUGCGGCUGAUUAGGUAGUUGGUGAGGUAACGGCUCACCAAGCCAACGAUCAGUAGGGGGUCUGAGAGGAUGUCCCCCCACACUGGUACUGAGACACGGACCAGACUCCUACGGGAGGCAGCAGUAGGGAAUAUUGGACAAUGGGGGCAACCCUGAUCCAGCCAUUCCGCGUGCAGGAAUAAGGCCCUAUGGGUCGUAAACUGCUUUUGUAUGGGAAAAAAUCAUCUUACGUGUAGGAUGUUGAUGGUACCAUGAGAAUAAGGAUCGGCUAACUUCGUGCCAGCAGCCGCGGUAAUACGAAGGAUCCAAGCGUUGUCCGGAUUUACUGGGUUUAAAGGGUGCGUAGGCGGNGAAUUAAGUCAGUGGUGAAAGCUGGUAG
rnacentral:rRNA from 1 species